UGGGGAAUAUUGGACAAUGGGCGCAAGCCUGAUCCAGCCAUGCCGCGUGAGUGAUGAAGGCCCUAGGGUUGUAAAGCUCUUUUGUGCGGGAAGAUAACGACGGUACCGCAAGAAUAAGCCCCGGCUAACUUCGUGCCAGCAGCCGCGGUAAUACGAAGGGGGCUAGCGUUGCUCGGAAUCACUGGGCGUAAAGGGUGCGUAGGCGGGUCUUUAAGUCAGGGGUGAAAUCCUGGAGCUCAACUCCAGAACUGCCUUUGAUACUGAGGAUCUUGAGUUCGGGAGAGGUGAGUGGAACUGCGAGUGUAGAGGUGAAAUUCGUAGAUAUUCGCAAGAACACCAGUGGCGAAGGCGGCUCACUGGCCCGAUACUGACGCUGAGGCACGAAAGCGUGGGGAGCAAACA
rnacentral:rRNA from 1 species